CAGCUGUGAUGAGCAUAGAAUUUUUUUAAUCUGAAUGUGACCGUGUGGCACUCAGAGCUUUUUAACCCUGAGCAGU